rnacentral:lncRNA from 1 species
GGACGUAGAAGGAUUCACAAAUACCAAAUGGAAGGAAAUGUUAAUUAACAUUAAGAAAGUAACAAGUGAAGUUCUAGGAGUGUCUAAACUCUAAUGGUCUAGCGGCUCAACCAAAAGAUUUGUGGUGGUGGAAUGAGGAAGUGUAAAAAGCUGUUAAGACCGAGAGGGGGCGCUCCUUAUCAAAAAAGGCCGAGAGGUAGUACUAAAGGAAGCUACCAAAAUCAUAAGGAAG